rnacentral:rRNA from 1 species
CCUACGGGAGGCAGCAGUGAGGAAUAUUGGUCAAUGGCCGCAGGGCUGAACCAGCCAAGUCGCGUGAGGGAUGACGGUCCUAUGGAUUGUAAACCUCUUUUGUCAGGGAGCAAAGGGCGCCACUUGUGCCGCUUUUCGAGUACCUGAAGAAAAAUCAGCGGCUAACUCCGUGCAAGCAGCCGCGGUAAUACGGAGGAUGCGAGCGUUAUCCGGAUUUAUUGGGUUUAAAGGGUGCGUAGACUGUGCGCCAAGUCUGGAGUGAAAUGCCGCAGCUUAACUGCGGAACUGCUUUGGAAACUGGCGAACUAGAGUGAGGGAGGGGUAAGCGGAAUUCUUGGUGUAGCGGUGAAAUGCGUAGAUAUUAGGAGGAACACCGGUGGCGAAGGCGGGUUACUGGACAGUAACUGACGCUGAGGCUCGAAGGCGUGGGGAGCGAACGGGAUUAGAUACCCUAGUAGUC